rnacentral:misc_RNA from 1 species
AGCAGCCGCGGUAAUUCCAGCUCCAAUAGCGUAUAUUAAAGUUGUUGCAGUUAAAAGCUCGUAGUUGAAUUUCGGGAUCAUCAGGUUGGUCGUGCCUCUGGUAUGUACUGAUUUCGAUGGUUCCUCCUUCUUGAAGAGCCGUAAUGCCAUUAAUUUGGUGUUGCGGGGAAUCAGGACUGUUACUUUGAAAAAUUGAGUGUUUAAAGCAGACAAUCGCUUGAAUACAUUAGCAUGGAAUAAUGAAAUAGGACGUUCGAUCCUAUUUUGUUGGUUUCUAGGAUUGACGUAAUGAUUAAUAGGGAUAGUUGGGGGCAUUAGUAUUCAAUUGUCAGAGGUGAAAUUCUUGGAUUUAUUGAAGACUAACUACUGCGAAAGCAUUUGCCAA